GAUGAACGCUGGCGGCGUGCCUAAUACAUGCAAGUCGAGCGAAUGGAUUAAGAGCUUGCUCUUAUGAAGUUAGCGGCGGACGGGUGAGUAACACGUGGGUAACCUGCCCAUAAGACUGGGACAACUCCGGGAAACCGGGGCUAAUACCGGAUAACAUUUUGAACCGCAUGGUUCGAAAUUGAAAGGCGGCUUCGGCUGUCACUUAUGGAUGGACCCGCGUCGCAUUAGCUAGUUGGUGAGGUAGCGGCUCACCAAGGCAACGAUGCGUAACCGAACUGAGAGGGUGAGCGACCACACUGGGACUGAGACACGGCCCAGACUCCUACGGGAGGCAGCAGUAGGGAAUCUUCCGCAAUGGACGAAAGUCUGACGGAGCAACGCCGCGUGAGUGAUGAAGGCUUUCGGGUCGUAAAACUCUGUUGUUAGGGAAGAACAAGUGCUAGUUGAAUAAGCUGGCACCUUGACGGUACCUAACCAGAAAGCCACGGCUAACUACGUGCCAGCCGCCGCAGUAA
rnacentral:rRNA from 1 species